AGAGUUUGAUCCUGGCUCAGGACGAACGCUGGCGGCGUGCUUAAUACAUGCAAGUCGAACGAGAAAGUUUCCUUCGGGAAACGAGUAGAGUGGCGAACGGGUGAGUAACGCGUAGGUAAUCUGCCUUCGAGUCUGAGAUAACUCCGGGAAACUGGGGCUAAUACCGGAUGACGCAUCACAUUUGGGUUUGUGAUGUUAAAGGUGCUUUCGGGUGCCGCUUGAAGAUGAGCCUGCGACCUAUCAGCUUGUUGGUGGGGUAACGGCCUACCAAGGCGAAGACGGGUAGCUGGUCUGAGAGGAUGAUCAGUCACACUGGCACUGAGAUACGGGCCAGACUCCUACGGGAGGCAGCAGUAGGGAAUAUUGCGCAAUGGGCGAAAGCCUGACGCAGCGACGCCGCGUGAGUGAAGAAGGUCUUAUUGAUUGUAAAGCUCUGUAAGGAGGGAAGAACACCAGUGGCGAAGGCGGCUCACUGGGACAUAACUGACGCUGAGGCACGAAAGCGUGGGGAGCGAACGGGAUUAGAUACCCCGGUAGUCCACGCCGUGAACGAUGGAUACUAGAUGUCAGGUUAUUUAACAACUUGGUGUCGAAGCAAACGUGAUAAGUAUCCCGCCUGGGGAGUACGGUCGCAAGAUUAAAACUCAAAGGAAUUGACGGGGGCCCGCACAAGCGGUGGAGCAUGUGGUUUAAUUCGAUGCAACGCGCAGAACCUUACCCGGACUUGACAUCCUUCGGAAGUCGACCAGAGAUGGACGACGUCUCUUCGGAGACCGGAGUGACAGGUGCUGCAUGGCUGUCGUCAGCUCGUGUUGUGAAAUGUUGGGUUAAGUCCCGCAACGAGCGCAACCCUUGUCCUUAGUUGCCAUCAUUAAGUUGGGCACUCUAGGGAGACUGCCCGGGUUAACCGGGAGGAAGGUGGGGAUGACGUCAAGUCCUCAUGGCCCUUAUGUCCGGGGCUACACACGUGCUACAAUGGCGCAGACAGAGCGAAGCGAAGCGGCGACGUGAAGCAAAUCGCAGAAACUGCGUCUCAGUUCGGAUUGGAGUCUGCAACUCGACUCCAUGAAGUUGGAAUCGCUAGUAAUCGCGGAACAGCAUGCCGCGGUGAAUACGUUCCCGGGCCUUGUACACACCGCCCGUCACACCAUGGGAGUUGUUCUCACUGGACGACGUUGAGCUAGCCUUCGGGAGGCAGGCGUUAAUGGUGAGGAUAGCGACUGGGGUGAAGUCGUAACAAGGUA
rnacentral:rRNA from 1 species